UACAGAGGGUGCGAGCGUUAAUCGGAAUUACUGGGCGUAAAGCGUGCGUAGACGGUUAUGUAAGUCGGGUGUGAAAGCCCCGGGCUCAACCUGGGAAUUGCAUUCGAGACUGCAUAGCUAGGGUGCGGAAGAGGGAAGCGGAAUUUCCGGUGUAGCGGUGAAAUGCGUAGAGAUCGGAAAGAACACCAACGGCGAAAGCACUCUGCUGGGCCGACACUGACACUGAGAGACGAAAGCUAGGGGGAGCGAAUGGG
rnacentral:rRNA from 1 species